rnacentral:rRNA from 1 species
AUGAACGCUGGCGGCGUGCCUAACACAUGCAAGUCGAGCGAGAAAUCUUGAAAUGAAACUUCGGUAGAUUUUUAAGAUGGAAAGCGGCGGACGGGUGAGUAACGCGUAGGCAACCUGCCUUAUGCAGAGGGAUAGCCAUUGGAAACGAUGAUUAAAACCUCAUAACGCCGGAGAGUCACAUGGUUUUCCGGCCAAAGAUUUAUCGGCAUAAGAUGGGCCUGCGUCUGAUUAGUUAGUUGGUGGGGUAACGGCCUACCAAGGCGACGAUCAGUAGCCGACCUGAGAGGGUGAUCGGCCACAUUGGAACUGAGACACGGUCCAAACUCCUACGGGAGGCAGCAGUGGGGAAUAUUGCACAAUGGGCGAAAGCCUGAUGCAGCAACGCCGCGUGAAGGAAGAAGGCCUUCGGGUCGUAAACUUCUGUCCUAUGGGAAGAAAAAAAUGACGGUACCAUAGGAGGAAGCCCCGGCUAACUACGUGCCAGCAGCCGCGGUAAUACGUAGGGGGCGAGCGUUAUCCGGAAUUAUUGGGCGUAAAGAGUGCGUAGGUGGUAACUUAAGCGCGGGGUUUAAGGCAAUGGCUUAACCAUUGUUCGCCCUGCGAACUGGGAUACUUGAGUGCAGGAGAGGAAAGCGGAAUUCCUAGUGUAGCGGUGAAAUGCGUAGAUAUUAGGAGGAACACCAGUGGCGAAGGCGGCUUUCUGGACUGAAACUGACACUGAGGCACGAAAGUGUGGGGAGCAAACAGGAUUAGAUACCCUGGUAGUCCACACCGUAAACGAUGAGCACUAGGUGUCGGGGGCGCAAGUCCUCGGUGCCGGAGUUAACGCAUUAAGUGCUCCGCCUGGGGAGUACGUACGCAAGUAUGAAACUCAAAGGAAUUGACGGGGGCCCGCACAAGCAGUGGAGUAUGUGGUUUAAUUCGAAGCAACGCGAAGAACCUUACCAGGUCUUGACAUCGUAUGCAUAGUCUAGAGAUAGAUGAAAUCCCUUCGGGGACAUAUAGACAGGUGGUGCAUGGUUGUCGUCAGCUCGUGUCGUGAGAUGUUGGGUUAAGUCCCGCAACGAGCGCAACCCUUGUCAUUAGUUGCCAGCAGUAAGAUGGGCACUCUAAUGAGACUGCCGGGGACAACUCGGAGGAAGGUGGGGAUGACGUCAAAUCAUCAUGCCCCUUAUGUUCUGGGCUACACACGUGCUACAAUGGUCGGUACAAAGAGCAGCGAGGCCGUGAGGCGGAGCAAAUCUCAAAAGCCGAUCCCAGUUCGGAUUGUAGGCUGCAACUCGCCUACAUGAAGUCGGAGUUGCUAGUAAUCGCAGAUCAGAAUGCUGCGGUGAAUGCGUUCCCGGGUCUUGUACACACCGCCCGUCACACCACGGAAGUUGGGGGUGCCCAAAGUUGGUCAAGAAAUAGAUUACCUAAGGCAAAACCGAUGACUGGGGUG